AAGCUCUUACGUGUUUCUGUGGGUGGCGGUGCACGGCCAUUCUUGGUUGG
rnacentral:rRNA from 11 species